rnacentral:rRNA from 1 species
AGAGUUUGAUCCUGGCUCAGGACGAACGCUGGCGGCGUGCUUAACACAUGCAAGUGGUGCGACGAACCAGGGCUUGCCCUGGGGCCAAGCCGCGAACGGGUGAGUAACACGUGAGUAACCUGCCCCGAUGACCGGGACAACCCGAGGAAACUCGGGCUAAUACCGGAUGUGGCGCACAAUCGUAAGUUUGUGCGCUAAAGGAAGCUUCGGCCUCCGCAUUGGGAGGGGCUCGCGGCCCAUUAGCUUGUUGGUGGGGUAACGGCCUACCAAGGCAACGAUGGGUAGCUGGUCUGAGAGGACGAUCAGCCACACUGGGACUGAGACACGGCCCAGACUCCUACGGGAGGCAGCAGUGGGGAAUCUUGCGCAAUGCGCGAAAGCGUGACGCAGCAACGCCGCGUGGGGGAAGACGGCCUUCGGGUUGUAAACCCCUUUCAGGAGGGACGA